rfam:Gossypium raimondii chromosome 4, whole genome shotgun sequence.
AACCCAUGCAUCAAACAUUUUCUAAGUAAUUCUUUAAAUCUUUCCUAAGCUUCGUACAACGUUUCAUCCUCUGAUUUUUGAAAAGAUGUUAUGUCAUUUCUGAGAUU